GAGUUUGAUCAUGGCUCAGAUUGAACGCUGGCGGUAUGCUUAACACAUGCAAGUCGAACGGUAACAGGCUAGCUUGCUAGCGCUGACGAGUGGCGGACGGGUGCGUAACGCGUAGGAAUCUGCCUAUUAGUGGGGGACAACCUGGUGAAAACCAGGCUAAUACCGCAUACGCCCUACGGGGGAAAGGCAGGGGAGUCUUCGGACCUUGCGCUAAUAGAUGAGCCUGCGUUAGAUUAGCUUGUUGGUGAGGUAAUGGCUCACCAAGGCGACGAUCUAUAGCUGGUCUGAGAGGACGAUCAGCCACACUGGGACUGAGACACGGCCCAGACUCCUACGGGAGGCAGCAGUGGGGAAUAUUGGACAAUGGGCGGAAGCCUGAUCCAGCAAUACCGCGUGUGUGAAGAAGGCCUGAGGGUUGUAAAGCACUUUCAAUUGGGAGGAAACAGGCAGGUUAAUAUCUGUCUCUUGACAUUACCUUUAGAAGAAGCACCGGCUAACU
rnacentral:rRNA from 1 species